rnacentral:rRNA from 1 species
CCUACGGGAGGCAGCAGUGGGGAAUAUUGCGCAAUGGACGAAAGUCUGACGCAGCGACGCCGCGUGUGGGAUGACGGUCUUCGGAUUGUAAACCACUGUCGGGAGGGACGCGGUACCUCCAAAGGAAGCACCGGCUAACUCCGUGCCAGCAGCCGCGGUAAUACGGAGGGUGCGAGCGUUGUCCGGAAUCACUGGGCGUAAAGGGCGCGUAGGCGGCCUGAUAAGUAGGGGGUGAAAUCCUGCGGCUUAACCGCAGGGCUGCCUUCUAAACUGUCAGGCUCGAGCACAGUAGAGGCAGGUGGAAUUCCCGGUGUAGCGGUGGAAUGCGUAGAGAUCGGGAAGAACAUCAGUGGCGAAGGCGGCCUGCUGGGCUGUGCUGACGCUGAGGCGCGACAGCGUGGGGAGCAAACAGGAUUAGAUACCCUUGUAGUC